UGUCUCUCCCUUGGGGCUCUGGGGGUCCCUUUCCUUCCCAGCCAGGGCUGGAGCCCAAGGUUAGCCCUCACUAAGGACCAUUGUUGGGACUGUGCAAGGUGGUAAAUCUUGUUUUCCUACCUCAGGCAGCU